rnacentral:rRNA from 1 species
UCGAGAAUUUUUCACAAUGGGCGAAAGCCUGAUGGAGCGACGCCGCGUGGGGGAUGAAUGGCUUCGGCCCGUAAACCCCUGUCAUUCGCGAGCAAACGUUAUUAUUUAAAAGAUGAUAGCCUGAUAGUAGCGAAAGAGGAAGGGACGGCUAACUCUGUGCCAGCAGCCGCGGUAAUACAGAGGUCCCAAGCGUUGUUCGGAUUUACUGGGCGUAAAGGGUGCGUAGGUGGUGGGGUAAGUCGUAUGUGAAAUCUCCGAGC